rnacentral:rRNA from 1 species
GACGAACGCUGGCGGCGUGCCUAAUACAUGCAAGUUGAGCGCUGAAGGUUGGUACUUGUACCGACUGGAUGAGCAGCGAACGGGUGAGUAACGCGUGGGGAAUGCCUUUGAGCGGGGGACAACAUUUGGAAACGAAUGCUAAUACCGCAUAAAAACUUUAAACACAAGUUUUAAGUUUGAAAGAUGCAAUUGCAUCACUCAAAGAUGAUCCCGCGUUGUAUUAGCUAGUUGGUGAGGUAAAGGCUCACCAAGGCGAUGAUACAUAGCCGACCUGAGAGGGUGAUCGGCCACAUUGGGACUGAGACACGGCCCAAACUCCUACGGGAGGCAGCAGUAGGGAAUCUUCGGCAAUGGACGAAAGUCUGACCGAGCAACGCCGCGUGAGUGAAGAAGGUUUUCGGAUCGUAAAACUCUGUUGGUAGAGAAGAACGUUGGUGAGAGUGGAAAGCUCAUCAAGUGACGGUAACUACCCAGAAAGGGACGGCUAACUACGUG